CGCCCGGUCUGAGCGCACAUUGCCACCUGUCCUCGCCCGCUGAGAAGCCCUGGCUCCGGAACGCCGUGAAAACACCUCCCCGCUGGACUCAGCCGAGCGCCGGAUGGCUCCUGGAGGAGCGGGGAGGUGGAAGGGACGCGCAGCUGGCAACGCCAAGCGGGGUCGUUCUCUGCGCUGCCCAGGGAGGUGGUGGAGUCCCCAGCCUUAGAGGUGGCCUCGGUGCUCUGGGCUGGGGAUCGGUCACAGAUUGGACUCGGCGAUCCCAGAGGUCUUUUCCAACCUAAGCACGUGGGCUGUACGAGCUGCACUCAAAAGGGUGUUAAAACUAAACCUGAGAUUCACAGCCACAACAGGCAGAAAGGUCUGUAACAGCCAUAUAAACAGGGAAAUAUUGCUGCCUGUCCUGUUUGAACUGUUCUACACCUCACACCAUCUGUUUUAUCUGUGAUGGGAAAGGAAAUAAAACUACAGCUGUUAAAAUUGCCAGGGAGAUGCUGUGUGUUUCCUGGGAAG